GCCCGCUGGUGCAGAUGAUGAAUGGCAGAAUGGCAAUGAUGGUAGAGAAUGGGACUCUUAAUCUCAGGGUCGUGGGUUUGAACCCCACAUUGGGUA